rnacentral:rRNA from 1 species
UACGGAGGGUGCAAGCGUUGUUCGGAAUCACUGGGCGUAAAGCGCGUGUAGGCGGCUAGAUAAGUCUGCUCUGAAAGCCCGGGGCUCAACCCCGGGAGGCGGGUGGAUACUGUCUAGCUCGAGUCCGGAAGAGGAGUGUGGAAUUCCUGGUGUAGCGGUGAAAUGCGCAGAUAUCAGGAGGAACACCAAUGGCGAAGGCAGCACUCUGGGACGUGACUGACGCUGAGACGCGAAAGCGUGGGGAGCAAACAGG